rnacentral:rRNA from 1 species
CCUACGGGCGGCAGCAGUGGGGAAUAUUGCACAAUGGGCGCAAGCCUGAUGCAGCCAUGCCGCGUGUGUGAAGAAGGCCUUCGGGUUGUAAAGCACUUUCAGCGGGGAGGAAGGCGGUGAGGUUAAUAACCUCAUCGAUUGACGUUACCCGCAGAAGAAGCACCGGCUAACUCCGUGCCAGCAGCCGCGGUAAUACGGAGGGUGCAAGCGUUAAUCGGGAUUACUGGGCGUAAAGCGCACGCAGGCGGUCUGUCAAGUCGGAUGUGAAAUCCCCGGGCUCAACCUGGGAACUGCAUUCGAAACUGGCAGGCUAGAGUCUUGUAGAGGGGGGUAGAAUUCCAGGUGUAGCGGUGAAAUGCGUAGAGAUCUGGAGGAAUACCGGUGGCGAAGGCGGCCCCCUGGACAAAGACUGACGCUCAGGUGCAAAAGCGUGGGGAGCAAACAGGAUUAAAUACCCUAGUAGUC